rnacentral:rRNA from 1 species
CCUACGGGUGGCUGCAGUGGGGAAUAUUGGACAAUGGGAGCAACCCUGAUCCAGCCAUGCCGCGUGUGUGAAGAAGGCCCUCGGGUUGUAAAGCACUUUCAGUGAGGAAGAACGCCUGGUGGUUAAUACCCAUCAGGAAAGACAUCACUCACAGAAGAAGCACCGGCUAACUCCGUGCCAGCAGCCGCGGUAAUACGGAGGGUGCGAGCGUUAAUCGGAAUUACUGGGCGUAAAGCGCGCGUAGGUGGCUUGAUAAGCCGGUUGUGAAAGCCCCGGGCUCAACCUGGGAACGGCAUCCGGAACUGUCAAGCUAGAGUGCAGGAGAGGAAGGUAGAAUUCCCGGUGUAGCGGUGAAAUGCGUAGAGAUCGGGAGGAAUACCAGUGGCGAAGGCGGCCUUCUGGACUGACACUGACACUGAGGUGCGAAAGCGUGGGUAGCAAACAGGAUUAGAUACCCUGGUAGUC